GGGAUGAAAGGCUCCUGGGUUGGAGAUGCAGAACCGGAAGAGGCUGAUCCCCAAGUGAACGCCUUGGUAUAACAUACACAGGACCAUCGCCCUUAUUGAACAUGUACCACUCAGCAUCUCCGCUCACUGUCAAAAUGGAUGAUGAUGAGUACAGUGGAGAACGGCAGAGCUCAUGUCUGAGGAUAAAGCAUGUCUGUGAAACUCACUUAUGAAGAAUAAAGUAC